GACGAACGCUGGCGGCGUGCUUAACACAUGCAAGUCGAGCGGUAAGGCCCUUUCGGGGGUACACGAGCGGCGAACGGGUGAGUAACACGUGGGUGACCUGCCCUCAGCUCUGGGAUAAGCCUGGGAAACCGGGUCUAAUACUGGAUAUGACUCCAUGACGCAUGUUGUGGGGUGGAAAGCCUUGUGCGGCUGAGGAUGGGCCCGCGGCCUAUCAGCUUGUUGGUGGGGUGAGGCCUACCAAGGCGACGACGGGUAGCCGGCCUGAGAGGGCGACCGGCCACACUGGGACUGAGACACGGCCCAGACUCCCACGGGAGGCAGCAGUGGGGAAUCUUGCGCAAUGGGCGAAAGCCUGACGCAGCGACGCCGCGUGAGGGAUGACGGCCUCGG
rnacentral:rRNA from 1 species